rnacentral:rRNA from 1 species
GCCAUGCCGCGUGCAGGAUGACUGCCCUAUGGGUUGUAAACUGCUUUUGUCCAGGAAUAAACCUAUCUACGUGUAGAUAGCUGAAUGUACUGGAAGAAUAAGGAUCGGCUAACUCCGUGCCAGCAGCCGCGGUAAUACGGAGGAUCCGAGCGUUAUCCGGAUUUAUUGGGUUUAAAGGGUGCGUAGGCGGCCUAUUAAGUCAGGGGUGAAAUACGGUGGCUCAACCAUCGCAGUGCCUUUGAUACUGAUGGGCUUGAAUCCAUUUGAAGUGGGCGGAAUAAGACAAGUAGCGGUGAAAUGCAUAGAUAUGUCUUAGAACUCCGAUUGCGAAGGCAGCUCACUAAGCUGGUAUUGACGCUGAUGCACGAAAGCGUGGGGAUCGAACAGGAUUAGAUACCCUGGUAGUCCACGCCCUAAACGAUGAUAACUCGAUGUUGGCGAUAGACAGCCAGCGUCCCAGCGAAAGCGUUAAGUUAUCCACCUGGGGAGUACGCCCGCAAGGGUGAAAC